AGUCGAGGGGCAGCAUUUUAGUUUGCUUGCAAACUAAAGAUGGCGACCGGCGCACGGGUGAGUAACACGUAUCCAACCUGCCGAUAACUCAGGGAUAGCCUUUCGAAAGAAAGAUUAAUACCUGAUGGCAUAGGAUUAUCGCAUGAUAAUCCUAUUAAAGAAUUUCGGUUAUCGAUGGGGAUGCGUUCCAUUAGGCAGUUGGUGAGGUAACGGCUCACCAAACCUUCGAUGGAUAGGGGUUCUGAGAGGAAGGUCCCCCACAUUGGAACUGAGACACGGUCCAAACUCCUACGGGAGGCAGCAGUGAGGAAUAUUGGUCAAUGGACGGGAGUCUGAACCAGCCAAGUAGCGUGAAGGAUGACUGCCCUAUGGGUUGUAAACUUCUUUUAUACGGGAAUAAAGUGAUCCACGUGUGGGUUUUUGUAUGUACCGUAUGAAUAAGGAUCGGCUAACUCCGUGCCAGCAGCCGCGGUAAUACGGAGGAUCCGAGCGUUAUCCGGAUUUAUUGGGUUUAAAGGGAGCGUAGAUGGAUGUUUAAGUCAGUUGUGAAAGUUUGCGGCUCAACCGUAAAAUUGCAGUUGAUACUGGAUAUCUUGAGUGCAGUUGAGGCAGGCGGAAUUCGUGGUGUAGCGGUGAAAUGCUUAGAUAUCACGAAGAACUCCGAUUGCGAAGGCAGCCUGCUAAGCUGCAACUGACAUUGAGGCUCGAAAGUGUGGGUAUCAAACAGGAUUAGAUACCCUGGUAGUCCACACGGUAAACGAUGAAUACUCGCUGUUUGCGAUAUACU
rnacentral:rRNA from 1 species